rnacentral:tRNA from 9 species
GCCGGGAUGGCGGAAUGGUAGACGCUACGGACUUAAAAUCCGUUGCCCGCAAGGGCGUGUGGGUUCGAGUCCCAUUCCCGGCACCA